rnacentral:rRNA from 1 species
AGAGAGAGACAUGCGCGCAUAUCAAUAAGCGGAGGAAAAGAAACUAACAAGGAUUCCCUUAGUAACGGCGAGUGAAGCGGGAAGAGCUCAAAUUUGAAAUCCUCAAGGCUUUACCUUGACGAAUUGUAGUUUAAAGAAGUGUUUUCUGCUGAAGUUUUGGUAAAAGUUCUUUGGAAUAGGACAUCAUAGAGGGUGAGAAUCCCGUAUUUGACCAUUAUUUUCAGCUUUGUGAUACACUUUCAAAGAGUCGGAUUGUUUGGGAAUGCAGUCCAAAAUGGGUGGUAAAUUUCAUCUAAAGCUAAAUAUUGGCGAGAGACCGAUAGCGAACAAGUACCGUGAGGGAAAGAUGAAAAGAACUUUGAAAGGAGAGUUAAACAGUACGUGAAAUUGUCAAAAGGGAAGCGUUUGACACCAGUGCUUGUUUUCUCGAAAAUCAAUUAAAAAUGGCUCGAUUUUGUAUUGCUUGAGACCUUAAAAGCUCACUGUACAUUUUUCGUGUCUUUUUUAAUGCACUUUUCGUUUAACAAGUCAACAUCAGUUUCUUUUGUUGUAAAAGGGUCAUUGGAAGGUGGCUUUCUUUUCGGAGAAAGUGUUUAUAGCCUUUGGCCUCUGCAAUCGGAAGAGACUGAGGUCUGCAGCGUAGACUCUUCGGGGUUAGAUACAUUUGUGCUAAGUUAUAGCUUUUUAUAGACAACUUGUUGACUAUAAUUAGUUUUGUAGCUUACUCGCUUAUGCUAUUUUACCUACGCUUAGGAUGUUGAAGUCAUCGUAUCGCGC